rnacentral:ncRNA from 1 species
AAUAUUACAUAACAUUUUACUUAUUUAUACUGUGAAUUGGCGCAGUGUUUCUACAAGACACCGUAAUGUCUAACAAUAAGUGAGCUUAGAGAGCUU